UACGAAGGGGGCUAGCGUUGCUCGGAAUCACUGGGCGUAAAGCGCACGUAGGCGGCUUUCUAAGUCAGGGGUGAAAUCCUGGAGCUCAACUCCAGAACUGCCUUUGAUACUGGAGAGCUUGAGUCCGGGAGAGGUGAGUGGAACUCCGAGUGUAGAGGUGAAAUUCGUAGAUAUUACGGAAGAACACCAGUGGCGAAGGCGGCUCACUGGCCCGGUACUGACGCUGAUGUGCGAAAGCGUGGGGAGCAACAGGGAUUAAGAAACCCUUGG
rnacentral:rRNA from 1 species